rnacentral:rRNA from 1 species
UACAGAGGUCCCAAGCGUUGUUCGGAAUUAUUGGGCGUAAAGGAUGCGUAGGCGGUUUGGUAAGUCUUGUGUGAAAUCUCCAGGCUCAACUUGGAGUCUGCACGAGAAACUGCCGGGCUUGAGUGUGGGAGAGGUGAGUGGAAUUCCUGGUGUAGCGGUGAAAUGCGUAGAUAUCAGGAGGAACACCUGUGGCGAAAGCGGCUCACUGGACCAACAACUACGCUGAUGCACGAAAAGCUAGGGGAGCAAACAGG